rnacentral:rRNA from 1 species
UACGUAGGCGGCCUUUUAAGUCAGGUGUGAAAGCGUGAGGCUUAACCUCAUUAAGCACUUGAAACUGGAAGGCUUGAGUGAAGGAGAGGAAAGUGGAAUUCCUAGUGUAGCGGUGAAAUGCGUAGAUAUUAGGAGGAAUACCGGUGGCGAAGGCGACUUUCUGGACUUUUACUUGACGCUCAGGUACGAAAGCGUGGGGAGGCAAACA